rnacentral:rRNA from 1 species
GUAACGAGCGCAACCCUUGUCCUUAGUUACCAGGCACGUAAUGGUGGGAACUCUAAGGAGACUGCCGGUGACAAACCGGAGGAAGGUGGGGAUGACGUCAAGUCAUCAUGGCCCUUACGGCCAGGGCUACACACGUGCUACAAUGGUCGGUACAAAGGGUUGCCAAGCCGCGAGGUGGAGCUAAUCCCAUAAAACCGAUCGUAGUCCGGAUCGCAGUCUGCAACUCGACUGCGUGAAGUCGGAAUCGCUAGUAAUCGUGAAUCAGAAUGUCACGGUGAAUACGUUCCCGGGCCUU